UACGUAGGGGGCAAGCGGUGUCCGGAUCUAUUGGGCGUAAAGCGCGCUCAGGCGGUCUCUUAAGUCUGAUGUGAAAGCCCACGGCUCAACCGUGGAAGGUCAUUGGAAACUGGGAGACUUGAGUGUAGGAGAGGAAAGUGGAAUUCCACGUGUAGCGGUGAAAUGCGUAGAGAUGUGGAGGAACACCAGUGGCGAAGGCGACUUUCGGGCCUAUAAUUGACUCUGAGGCGCGAAAGCGUGGGGAGCAAACAGG
rnacentral:rRNA from 1 species